rnacentral:lncRNA from 1 species
CAUAAAUCGUUUUUGAGAUACGGCACGACAUGUAAAAACCCCCUCCUCUUUUUUUUACAAAAUACUCAAUAACUCAAAAAUGAAAUUUUGAAUCAUCACCAAAAAGUAUACAGAUCUUUAGAUUAAUAUAACAAAGAAGUGUGUAAAGUUUUAAGCAAUAAUCAUACAUCGUUUUUGAGAUACGGCGCGACAUGUAAAAAAACCCUCCCCCUUUUUUACAAAAUACUCAAUAACUCAAAAAUGAAAUUUUGAAUCAUCACCAAAAAGUAUACAGAUAUAAAGAUUAAUAUAACUAAGAAGUGUGUAAAGUUUUAAGCAAUAAUCAAGAAUCGUUUUUGAGAUACGGUGCGACAUGUGAAAAAAAACACAUCCCUGUUUUAGUUACAAAGUGCCGUAACUCAAAAAGUUUAAAU